AUGAACGCUAGCGGCAGGCCUAAUACAUGCAAGUCGAACGGUGUCUUCGGACAUAGUGGCGCACGGGUGCGUAACACGUAUGCAACCUACCUUACAUUGGGGGAUAGCCUUUCGAAAGGGAGAUUAAUACCGCAUAAGACAGUAGUCUGGCAUCAGACAGCUGUUAAAGAUUUAUCGAUGUAAGCUGGGCAUGCGUCCAAUUAGUUAGUUGGCGAGGUAACGGCUCACCAAGACUAUGAUUGGUAGGGGAACUGAGAGGUCAAUCCCCCACACUGGCACUGAGAUACGGGCCAGACUCCUACGGGAGGCAGCAGUAGGGAAUAUUGGGCAAUGGACGCAAGUCUGACCCAGCCAUGCCGCGUGCAGGAAGAAGGCGUUAUGCGUUGUAAACUGCUUUUAUACAGGAAGAAACGACUCUUGCGAGAGGCAUUGACGGUACUGUAUGAAUAAGCACCGGCUAACUCCGUGCCAGCAGCCGCGGUAAUACGGAGGGUGCAAGCGUUGUCCGGAUUUAUUGGGUUUAAAGGGUGCGCAGGUGGUUUAUUAAGUCAGUGGUGAAAGACGGUCGCUCAACGAUUGCAGUGCCAUUGAAACUGGUAGACUUGAGUAAAGUAGAGGUGGGCGGAAUUGAUAGUGUAGCGGUGAAAUGCAUAGAUAUUAUCAAGAACUCCAAUUGCGUAGGCAGCUCACUUGGCUUUUACUGACACUCAUGCACGAAAGUGUGGGUAUCAAACAGGAUUAGAUACCCUGGUAGUCCACACUGUAAACGAUGAUAACUAGGUGUCGGCCGAAUCUGGUCGGUGCCACAGCGAAAGCGUUAAGUUAUCCACCUGGGGAGUACG
rnacentral:rRNA from 1 species